CCAUGUUUCUCUUUGUUUUUCAGGGCGCCCCGUUCCCCAACCUGCAGGGCUCCUGAGUUAGAUCCUGGGCGUCGGAUCCCCCGGCCGGCAGGAGUUUCCGUCCGUCUCCCCCAGCCCCUCGCCCAGCCCAGAGAAUGGAGAACCUGGGGCCGGUCCCUUCCUGUCCCCGUCUGCUCCCCGCGCUCUGCCCGGCUCCAGCCCGCGCUGCCCCCGCCUGGGGACCCGUCCCUGCCCCUCAGUCCCAGCGGGGCCCUGGGGCGACCCUGUCACGCUGUCGAAUGGCUCACGAGUGUGGGGACCAAUCUCAGGGCACAGUUAGUACCCGGGACACCAACCCCAAAUUGGCUGAGUUCUGUACUGAGAUUUCACCAAAGUAUCGGGUGUGAACUCCACAGGCCCUGUAACAAAGUAAACGCGGAGCCUCAGACAGUCCCCUUGGGUUCUUCGAUCUGUCUGGCCACCCCGGCCAGCCUGCCCUUGUGAUCGAUCGAUAGUCCCUUCCUCCACAAAUCACAGCGAUGUUCGGGUCACUCCGUGUCCCACAGGCCAGUCGCUUAGCCCAGGGCAGUGGCACCUUCGAUCUCCCUCUACAGACAACGCUUGUAGCCAAUCCUGUAAUAACCGCAGUAAAGAUUUGUUACCUA